AUCACACUGAACACAACUUGUGGAGUAAUGAAGAGCAGUAUGGAAAAUGCAAUAAAUGAAACAAACCGUGAUGGAACAUUUAACGUGACAUACAACUAUGAGCUGAAUAUCUCCAGCUGUAACAAUGGUACAGAAAUAACCUGCAAAGCAAAGCAUCAAUCUGAGUGGUUCAAUGCAACCACUGUACUCCAGGCAGACACUCCUUCUCCAGGGAAAGACAAUGGUAUGAUUUAGUGUAAUCAAAUAAUGAAAGUAUUGAG